CCCGCUGAACUUAAGCAUAUCAGUAAGCGGAGGAAAAGAAACUAACAAGGAUUCCCCCAGUAACGGCGAGUGAACCGGGAACAGCUCAAAUUUGGAAUCUGGCGUCCGUGAGGGCGUCCGAGUUGUCAUUGAAAGGGUCCGUUUGUGCCGACCGGAGGAGUCCAAGUCCCUUGGAAUAGGGCGCCGCAGAGGGUGACAGCCCCGUCCGGCUCCUCGACACGGAAGGCAGCAUGAACAUGCGGACCCAACGAGUCGGAUAGCUUGGGAAUGCUGUCCUAAAUGGGUGAUACAUGUCAUCUAAAGCUAAAUAUCAGCAGGAGACCGAUAGCAAACAAGUACCGUGAGGGAAAGAUGAAAAGAACUUUGAAAAGAGAGUUAAAAGUACGUGAAAUUGUUAUAAGGGAAACGAUUCAUUCUGCGCCAGGACAGGGUCUUCCAGGAUUGCCCCCCCAUCAUCAUUUAUGAUGGUGGGUGGGUGGUCCGUACCAGGCCCUGACCCGGUUGAUCCACUUGCGACGGCCGGCAAAUGCCUCCCGGGAAUGUGGCUCCGCCUUCGGGCGGACGCUUUAUAGACCGGGUGAAGCUGCCGGCUUUAAUGAUGUUGCAAGUGUCGACGCUUGUCGAGGCAGGCGGGUCCAGCCCGGGGGUUCCUUCAUGGGGCUCCCGGUUGCGUUGGCCCGUUCCCGUCAUCAACGUUGUGGAAUGAACCGACCCGUCUUGAAACACGG
rnacentral:rRNA from 1 species